GGCGAACCGGGGGAACUGAAACAUCUAAGUACCCCGAGGAAAAGAAAUCAACCGAGAUUCCGAAAGUAGCGGCGAGCGAAAUUGGACUAGCCCUUAAGCUUUACACGCGUUAGACGAACGGUCUGGAAAGUCCGACGAUACAGGGUGAUAGUCCCGUAGUUGACGACGUGUGUUCAGUGAAAUCGAGUAGGGCGGGACACGUGAUAUCCUGUCUGAAUAUGGGGGGACCAUCCUCCAAGGCUAAAUACUACUGACUGACCGAUAGUGAACCAGUACCGUGAGGGAAAGGCGAAAAGAACCCCUGUGAGGGGAGUGAAAUAGAACCUGAAACCGUGUACGUACAAGCAGUAGGAGCAGGCUUUGUCCUGUGACUGCGUACCUUUUGUAUAAUGGGUCAGCGACUUAUAUUCAGUGGCAAGGUUAACCAUCUAGGGGAGCCGUAGGGAAACCGAGUCUUAACUGGGCGUUCAGUCUCUGGAUAUAGACCCGAAACCAGGUGAUCUAGCCAUGGGCAGGUUGAAGGUUGAGUAACAUCAACUGGAGGACCGAACCGACUAAUGUUGAAAAAUUAGCGGAUGACUUGUGGCUAGGGGUGAAAGGCCAAUCAAACCUGGAGAUAGCUGGUUCUCCCCGAAAGCUAUUUAGGUAGCGCCUCGGACGAAUACUACUGGGGGUAGAGCACUGUUAAGGCUAGGGGGUCAUCCCGACUUACCAACCCUUUGCAAACUCCGAAUACCAGUAAGUACUAUCCGGGAGACACACGGCGGGUGCUAACGUCCGUCGUGGAGAGGGAAACAACCCAGACCGCCAGCUAAGGUCCCAAAUUACUACUAAGUGGGAAACGAUGUGGGAAGGCUCAGACAGCCAGGAUGUUGGCUUAGAAGCAGCCAUCAUUUAAAGAAAGCGUAAUAGCUCACUGGUCGAGUCGGCCUGCGCGGAAGAUGUAACGGGGCUAAGUAGUAAACCGAAGCUGCGGCAAUGUGCUUUUGCACAUUGGGUAGGGGAGCGUUCUGUAAGCGGUUGAAGGUGUGUGGUAACGCAUGCUGGACGUAUCAGAAGUGCGAAUGCUGACAUGAGUAACGAUAAAGGGGGUGAAAAACCUCCUCGCCGGAAGACCAAGGGUUCCUGUCCAACGUUAAUCGGGGCAGGGUAAGUCGACCCCUAAGGCGAGGCCGAAAGGCGUAGUCGAUGGGAAACGGGUUAAUAUUCCCGUACUUCUUACAAUUGCGAUGGGGGGACGGAGAAGGCUAGGUGGGCCUGGCGACGGUUGUCCAGGUUCAAGUGCGUAGGCUUGANNNNNNNNNNNNNNNNNNNNNNNNNNNNNNNNNNNNNNNNNNNNNNNNNNNNNNNNNNNNNNNNNNNNNNNNNNNNNNNNNNNNNNNNNNNNNNNNUGGUGAAGUCAUUGAUGCCAUGCUUCCAGGAAAAGCCUCUAAGCUUCAGAUUGUAAGGAAUCGUACCCCAAACCGACACAGGUGGUCGGGUAGAGAAUACCAAGGCGCUUGAGAGAACUCGGGUGAAGGAACUAGGCAAAAUGGUACCGUAACUUCGGGAGAAGGUACGCUCUCGACGGUGAAGUCCCUCGCGGAUGGAGCUAUUGAGAGUCGCAGAUACCAGGUGGCUGCAACUGUUUAUUAAAAACACAGCACUGUGCAAAAUCGUAAGAUGACGUAUACGGUGUGACGCCUGCCCGGUGCCGGAAGGUUAAUUGAUGGGGUUAGACUUCGGUCGAAGCUCUUGAUCGAAGCCCCGGUAAACGGCGGCCGUAACUAUAACGGUCCUAAGGUAGCGAAAUUCCUUGUCGGGUAAGUUCCGACCUGCACGAAUGGCGUAAUGAUGGCCACGCUGUCUCCACCCGAGACUCAGUGAAAUUGAAAUCGCUGUGAAGAUGCAGUGUACCCGCGGCUAGACGGAAAGACCCCGUGAACCUUUACUACAGCUUGGCACUGAACAUUGACCCUACAUGUGUAGGAUAGGUGGGAGGCUUUGAAGCACGUACGCCAGUAUGUGUGGAGCCGUCCUUGAAAUACCACCCUUGUAGUGUUGAUGUUCUAACGUCGACCCCUUAUCGGGGUUGCGGACAGUGCCUGGUGGGUAGUUUGACUGGGGCGGUCUCCUCCCAAAGAGUAACGGAGGAGCACGAAGGUGGGCUAAUCACGGUUGGACAUCGUGAGGUUAGUGCAAUGGCAUAAGCCCGCUUGACUGCGAGAAUGACAAUUCGAGCAGGUGCGAAAGCAGGUCAUAGUGAUCCGGUGGUUCUGAAUGGAAGGGCCAUCGCUCAACGGAUAAAAGGUACUCCGGGGAUAACAGGCUGAUACCGCCCAAGAGUUCAUAUCGACGGCGGUGUUUGGCACCUCGAUGUCGGCUCAUCACAUCCUGGGGCUGAAGUCGGUCCCAAGGGUAUGGCUGUUCGCCAUUUAAAGUGGUACGCGAGCUGGGUUUAGAACGUCGUGAGACAGUUCGGUCCCUAUCUGCCGUGGGCGUUGGAAGAUUGAAGGGGGCUGCUCCUAGUACGAGAGGACCGGAGUGGACGAACCUCUGGUGUUCGGGUUGUGUCGCCAGACGCAUUGCCCGGUAGCUAAGUUCGGAAUCGAUAACCGCUGAAAGCAUCUAAGCGGGAAGCGAGCCCUGAGAUGAGUCUUCCCUGAUACUUUAAGUAUCCUAAAGGGUUGUCGGAGACUACGACGUUGAUAGGUCAGGUGUGUAAGUGCUGUGAGGCAUUGAGCUAACUGAUACUAAUUGCCCGUGAGGCUUAACCAUACAACACCCAAGGGGUUU
rnacentral:rRNA from 1 species